rnacentral:rRNA from 1 species
GACGAACGCUGGCGGCGUGCUUAACACAUGCAAGUCGAACGGUGACGAGGAGCUUGCUCCUCUGAUCAGUGGCGAACGGGUGAGUAACACGUGAGCAACCUACCUUUUGCAGGGAAUAACUCUGGGAAACCAGAGCUAAUACCGCAUGCCGUGCGCUUGGGGCAUCCCAGGUGCAUGAAAGGAGCAAUCCGGCAGAAGAUGGGCUCGCGUCCGAUUAGGUAGUUGGAGAGGUAACGGCUCCCCAAGCCGACGAUCGGUAGCCGGACUGAGAGGAUGAUCCGCCACACUGGAACUGAGACACGGUCCAGACUCCUACGGGAGGCAGCAGUGGGGAAUUUUGGACAAUGGGGGCAACCCUGAUCCAGCCAUGCCGCGUGAGUGAAGAAGGCCUUCGGGUUGUAAAGCUCUUUCGGCCGGGAAGAAAUCGCAUGGGUUAAUACCCUGUGCGGAUGACGGUACCGGCAUAAGAAGCACCGGCUAACUACGUG